GCCCUUGUAGCUCAAUUGGUUAGAGCGCACGCUUCGUAAGCGUGAGGUUCCGUGUUCGAUUCCCGGCAAGGGCA